rnacentral:rRNA from 1 species
GGUCGAAAGGGGAAAUUCAUUCGCGUUUCGGCAACCGGAACGGGACGUCUGUGUGACGGAUGACGUUCGCGUCUACCGCGCCUCUCUCCCGGCCGAUGCCGAACGCGUGCACUUUUCCCCUAGUAGGACGUCGCGAUCCGUUGGGUGUCUGUCUAAGACUCGAGGUGGAGCCCGCGUGACUCUUUGUCGCGCGGACCCUCGAUGCUCCGACAGACUCGCUCGACGGUAUGCUAAAGGCGCGGGGCCGCUACUCAGUUAGCGUUCGGCCCGCAGCAAGCGCGUUCUGUGUUUGACGGCGAUCGGACCCGGUGCCGAUUCUGUCCCGGAACGACUGUUGGUUGCGGUGUUCUCGAACAGACCUCGU